GAUGAACGCUGGCGGCGUGCCUAAUACAUGCAAGUCGAGCGAACAGACGAGGAGCUUGCUCCUCUGACGUUAGCGGCGGACGGGUGAGUAACACGUGGAUAACCUACCUAUAAGACUGGGAUAACUUCGGGAAACCGGAGCUAAUACCGGAUAAUAUAUUGAACCGCAUGGUUCAAUAGUGAAAGACGGUUUUGCUGUCACUUAUAGAUGGAUCCGCGCCGCAUUAGCUAGUUGGUAAGGUAACGGCUUACCAAGGCAACGAUGCGUAACCGACCUGAGAGGGGGAUCGGCCACACUGGAACUGAGACACGGUCCAGACUCCUACGGGAGGCAGCAGUAGGGAAUCUUCCGCAAUGGGCGAAAGCCUGACGGAGCAACGCCGCGUGAGUGAUGAAGGUCUUCGGAUCGUAAAACUCUGUUAUUAGGGAAGAACAAAUGUGUAAGUAACUAUGCACGUCUUGACGGUACCUAAUCAGAAAGCCACGGCUAACUACGUG
rnacentral:rRNA from 1 species